GAUGAACGCUGGCGGCGUGCUUAACACAUGCAAGUCGAACGGUGAAGGCGGAGCUUUCUCUGCUGGAUCAGUGGCGAACGGGUGAGUAACACGUGAGCAAUCUGCCCCUGACUCUGUGAUAAGCGCUGGAAACGGCGGCUAAUACUGGAUACGAUCUACUAAGGCAUCUUCAUCAGCUGGAAAAAACUGCGGUCAUGGAUGAUCUCGCGGCCUAUCAGCUUGUUGGUGAGGUAACGGCGCACCACGGCGUCGACGGGUAGCCGGCCUGGGAGGGUGAACGGCCACACUGGGACUGAGACACGGAGCAGACUCCUACGGGCCGCAGCAGUGGGGAAUAUUGCACAAUGGGCGAAAGCCUGAUGCAGAAACGCCGCGUGCGGGAAGACGGCUUUCGGGUUGUAAACAUAUUUUAGCAGGGAAGAAGAGAAAGUGACGGUACCUGAAGAAAAAGCGACGGCUAACUACGUG
rnacentral:rRNA from 1 species